UCUUUAAUGGAGAGUUUGAUCCUGGCUCAGGACGAACGCUGGCGGCGUGCCUAAUACAUGCAAGUCGAGCGAGGUUAGUUAGAAGCUUGCUUCUAACUAACCUAGCGGCGGACGGGUGAGUAACACGUAGGCAACCUGCCCACAAGACAGGGAUAACUACCGGAAACGGUAGCUAAUACCCGAUACAUCCUUUUCCUGCAUGGGCGAAGGAGGAAAGACGGAGCAAUCUGUCACUUGUGGAUGGGCCUGCGGCGCAUUAGCUAGUUGGUGGGGUAAAGGCCUACCAAGGCGACGA
rnacentral:rRNA from 1 species